AGCGCUGCCGGCGCUAUAUAAAGGGAAGCGAUUAUCAUAGUUUCGCCUACAGUUUUGAAUAGCUGACGCAUAGAAUAUUCAUGGUUUACUGGUACAUACCUAUUUUAAAGUACAGUAUUCCAUAAAUGGUAGAAGAUGUUACGAAGCCAGUACCGCCGGCGAUUGAAAGCGCGGACGAAUGAGUAACAAAGGGUAAGGUUAAAUCGUUAGACUUAGAUUCUAAUGACGGCGCAAGUCGUGGGAUUACAUAGGCGUAUUAGUGAUAAUACGAUUAGUAGGGCAAAUUGGAUUUAGACGCUAAAUAAUAUGUACGAUAGUAGAAUAUCGGCUAUAAAUA
rnacentral:sRNA from 12 species